rnacentral:lncRNA from 1 species
UACAAGUUCUGUGUUUUGUUCACAAUAUUGGAGUAAAUAUUCCAUUUGUUCUGAAGAGGCCAGUGAAAUCCGAAAAAUAUCUGAUGGGAUGUGACGUCGACGUGAGUUAUGCGCAUGCCCCCUGAAUUAACAAGUCGAUCAGCGUUGUCCCAACGUAUAAUCUGCCAACUAUGAAAAAAAUGCCGUUUUUCAACUUUGAGCAAGUAGCGUUGUCAUGACGUAGUUCUACUUCGCUUUCGGUCGCGAUACAUCUGACGUCACUAACAUCAAAAUCGACGCUAAGUCGAAGAACGCGCCCCUGGUUACCAUGAUAACUGCCAGGUGUCUGGUAAUACUAGGACAGUGGAUGCUCGCCUUUACAUAAUCCAAAUAACACUAACCAACCAGAACUCCCAUAGUGAUAUAUUUUUGAAUUAACUUCCAAAUUAAUAAUUAUUAAUUAAUUUUUUCAGUUAAUUCACAAAUAUAUCACUGCGGAAGUUUUGACUAGUUAGGGUUAUUUGAAAAAGAAAAUGCCCAAGAAAUUAUUGAAAAUUGGGACGAUUAUGAUGCAUCUUUAGAUACAGUUUUUGAUUCUGCUGAAACAUUUGAUAAUGAUAGUGUUUCAUAUUCAGGGGAGUUUUGGUAAAUUAGUAUGAAAAGUUAGAAAAAUCUGUAAGAUCUUUAGAAAAUCAUCAUUUGAAAAAUGAUUAUCUACAAAAAAUUAUUACAGCUAAUUUUAAGAAAGAGCUAAAACUUGUGCUUGAUAACUGGACAAGAUGGAACAGCACUAUUGCAAUGAUUUCUAGAUUCAUUGAACUGAAAAAUUGCCUUCCUAAUUCUUUGAGAGUUUGUGCAAUUGCUGAAGUGAUUUCUGACAACAAAUGGAGAUCUUUAGAAGCUCUCCUAUAUAUACUUCAACUUUUUGAAAUAGUUAUCAAGGGAAUUUCCUCAAACGAAAAUUCACCAUUGAAGAGAGAAAAUUCAAUGAAAUUUAUUUUGAAAGAUUUGGAGAAUCACAGUUCAGUAUUGGCUGCAAAAUUGAAGAAAACUUUGAAUCCUAUUUUUCACAGAGAAUGAUAAAUGUCAUUGAACUAACCUAUCUCAAAGAUCCUGAAGUAUUGAAAAGAAAUGACUUUAAAGAACCUUUCUUGGUGCCAAAUCACAAAAACACAAAAAAAAAAAAAAAAUUGGUGGAAGCAACAUUCACCAGCUAUUUAUAUCAGAUGCAGAAAGACAAGAAGAAAUUGCUGAAUAUGGUAUUUUUGUUACAGAAGAUGCAGUUACUUCAGUCAGUGAUUCAAUAUUUCAGAUAUAUCUCAGUAAAGUGAUCAGUAUGAGUCUCCCUCUCCCUUAUUUGAUUUAGUAAAAAAAUUGAAACUGUAUGAAACAACAGGAAAGCAAACUGAAUAUUUAGAGCAACUUUGCAAAAAGAUUAUUAACCAUAAAAGAAACUACCAUGGAAUCAGAAAGCAUCUUUCUUCUGCUGGCUACUUUGUUUCAGAAAUUUGUUCUUAAUUAUCACCAAAAAUAUUAGAUGCUUUGUGAUUUUUAAGAUCAUACAUCUCUAAAAAAUAAAUGCUAAAAAUUAAUAAAUAAUUUUCCAAAACUGUAGGUGAAAGUGUGGUACAUAUUUCU